CGGAUUGCAGGCUGCAACCCGCCUGCAUGAAGUUGGAAUCGCUAGUAAUCGCGGAUCAGCAUGCCGCGGUGAAUACGUUCCCGGGCCUUGUACACACCGCCCGUCACACCAUGAGAGUCGGGGACACCCGAAGUCCGUAGUCUAACCGCAAGGGGGACGCGGCCGAAGGUGGAUUCGAUAAUUGGGGUGAAGUCGUAACAAGGUAUC
rnacentral:rRNA from 1 species